rnacentral:rRNA from 1 species
UACGGAGGGUGCAAGCGUUAUCCGGAUUUACUGGGUUUAAAGGGUGCGUAGGUGGGUAGGUAAGUCAGUGGUGAAAUCUUCAAGCUUAACUUGGAAACUGCCAUUGAUACUAUUUAUCUUGAAUACUUUGGAGGUAAGCGGAAUAUGUCAUGUAGCGGUGAAAUGCUUAGAUAUGACAUAGAACACCAAUUGCGAAGGCAGCUUACUACGGAUUGAUUGACACUGAGGCACGAAAGCGUGGGGAUCAAACAGG